rnacentral:misc_RNA from 1 species
CAUGUAAAUUUAUCUGUACCACUGAAGGGACAAAGCCUCUUUGGAAGCUUAAUGGGAUAAAUUUAACAAACAAUCUCUGAAUGAUAAAAUAAAAUCUUUAAAAAUAAACAAAGAUUGAAGAGGCUUUAAUACGCUUAAGCUUUAUACUCUUGGAUAAGCAAAAAACGAGCAUAAAUUGGUGGGCCUGGGAGGACUUGAACCUCCGACCUCACGCUUAUCAAGCGCGCGCUCUAACCAACUGAACUACAAGCCCUCCGGGAUAAACCGGAAAACCUUCCCCGGUAUCAUCUUAAAUUACUGGAAAAGUUUUUUACUUAUUUCCUUUUAAAGCCUUUUUUAAAACCCAUAAGUUCUGAGUAAAUCCAUGGUCUUUGAAAUCCAUAGCGCCUUGAAAUGCAUGUUUUUCUUUGAAAAAACGUGGAGGGAUUAUGACGCUAGGCUUUAUUUUAAGAGAUCACCAGAAGGCUUGGGAUCA